rnacentral:rRNA from 1 species
UGGGGAAUAUUGGACAAUGGGCGAAAGCCUGAUCCAGCCAUGCCGCGUGUGUGAAGAAGGUCUUCGGAUUGUAAAGCACUUUAAGUUGGGAGGAAGGGCAGUAAGCGAAUACCUUGCUGUUUUGACGUUACCGACAGAAUAAGCACCGGCUAACUCUGUGCCAGCAGCCGCGGUAAUACAGAGGGUUCAAGCGUUAAUCGGAAUUACUGGGCGUAAAGCGCGCGUAGGUGGUUCGUUAAGUUGAAUGUGAAAGCCCCGGGCUCAACCUGGGAACUGCAUCCAAAACUGGCGAGCUAGAGUAGGGCAGAGGGUGGUGGAAUUUCCUGUGUAGCGGUGAAAUGCGUAGAUAUAGGAAGGACCACCAGUGGCGAAGGCGACCACCUGGGCUCAUACUGACACUGAGGUGCGAAAGCGUGGGGAGCAAACAGG